rnacentral:rRNA from 1 species
CCUACGGGUGGCUGCAGUGGGGAAUAUUGCACAAUGGGCGCAAGCCUGAUGCAGCCAUGCCGCGUGUGUGAAGAAGGCCUUCGGGUUGUAAAGCACUUUCAGCGGGGAGGAAGGCGUUAAGGUUAAUAACCUUGGCGAUUGACGUUACCCGCAGAAGAAGCACCGGCUAACUCCGUGCCAGCAGCCGCGGUAAUACGGAGGGUGCAAGCGUUAAUCGGAAUUACUGGGCGUAAAGCGCACGCAGGCGGUCUGUCAAGUCGGAUGUGAAAUCCCCAGGCUCAACCUGGGAACUGCAUUCGAAACUGGCAGGCUAGAGUCUUGUAGAGGGGGGUAGAAUUCCAGGUGUAGCGGUGAAAUGCGUAGAGAUCUGGAGGAAUACCGGUGGCGAAGGCGGCCCCCUGGACAAAGACUGACGCUCAGGUGCGAAAGCGUGGGGAGCAAACAGGAUUAGAUACCCGUGUAGUC